rnacentral:rRNA from 1 species
UACGGAGGGAGCUAGCGUUGUUCGGAAUUACUGGGCGUAAAGCGCACGUAGGCGGCUAUUUAAGUCAGGGGUGAAAUCCCGGGGCUCAACCCCGGAACUGCCUCUGAAACUGGAUAGCUAGAAUCUUGGAGAGGUCAGUGGAAUUCCGAGUGUAGAGGUGAAAUUCGUAGAUAUUCGGAAGAACACCAGUGGCGAAGGCGACUGACUGGACAAGUAUUGACGCUGAGGUGCGAAAGCGUGGGGAGCAAACAGG